rnacentral:rRNA from 1 species
UACAGAGGGUGCGAGCGUUAAUCGGAAUUACUGGGCGUAAAGCGCGCGUAGGCGGCUUUGCAAGUCGGGUGUGAAAUCCCCAGGCUUAACCAGGGAACUGCAUUCGAGACUGCAUUGCUAGAGUAUGGGAGAGGGAAGUGGAAUUUCCGGUGUAGCGGUGAAAUGCGUAGAUAUCGGAAGGAACAUCAGUGGCGAAAGCGACUUCCUGGACCAAUACUGACGCUCAUGUGCGAAAGCGUGGGGAGCAAACAGG